rnacentral:rRNA from 1 species
UAAAAUGAGAGUUUGAUCCUGGCUCAGGACGAACGCUGGCGGCGUGCCUAAUACAUGCAAGUAGAACGCUGAGGACUGGUGCUUGCACUGGUCUAAGGAGUUGCGAACGGGUGAGUAACGCGUAGGUAACCUACCUCAUAGCGGGGGAUAACUAUUGGAAACGAUAGCUAAUACCGCAUGACAAUAGGGUACACAUGUACCCUAUUUAAAAGGGGCAAAUGCUUCACUAUGAGAUGGACCUGCGUUGUAUUAGCUAGUUGGUAAGGUAACGGCUUACCAAGGCGACGAUACAUAGCCGACCUGAGAGGGUGAUCGGCCACACUGGGACUGAGACACGGCCCAGACUCCUACGGGAGGCAGCAGUAGGGAAUCUUCGGCAAUGGGGGGAACCCUGACCGAGCAACGCCGCGUGAGUGAAGAAGGUUUUCGGAUCGUAAAGCUCUGUUGUUAGAGAAGAACGGUAAUGGGAGUGGAAAAUCCAUUACGUGACGGUAACUAACCAGAAAGGGACGGCUAACUACGUGCCAGCAGCCGCGGUAAUACGUAGGUCCC